rnacentral:rRNA from 1 species
AUACGGAGGAUGCAAGCGUUAUCCGGAUUUAUUGGGUUUAAAGGGUGCGUAGGCGGAUGAUUAAGCGUGAGGUGAAAUGCCACUGCUCAACAGUGGAACUGCCUCGCGAACUGGUUGUCUUGAAUGCUCCUGCCGUGGGCGGAAUGUGUGGUGUAGCGGUGAAAUGCAUAGAGAUCACACAGAACACCGAUUGCGACGGCAUCUCACGAAGCAGUGAGAUGCGCUGAGGCACGAAAGCGUGGGGAUCAACCAGGAUUAGAUACCCCGGUAGUACACGAAGUAAACGAUGAUAACUCACCGAUGGGUCGUAGUGUAUCAUUGGCCAAGCGAAAACGAUUAGGGAUACCCCUGGGCAGUUCGAUCGCAAGGUGGAAACUCACAUGCAUGGACGGGG